GAUGAAGAACGUAGCGAAAUGCGAUAAGUAAUGUGAAUUGCAGAAUUCAGUGAAUCAUCGAAUCUUUGAACGCACAUUGCGCCCGCCAGUAUUCUGGCGGGCAUGCCUGUCCGAGCGUCAUUUCAACCCUCGCGCCCAUCUGGGCUGCGGUGUUGGGGACCGGCCUGCCCCCCCGGGGCGCGCCGCCCCCCAAAUUCAGUGGCGGUCUCGCUGCAGCCUCCCUUGCGUAGUAGCACACCUCGCACCGGAGCGCAGCGCGGCCACGCCGUAAAACCCCCGACCCCCAUGAGUUUGACCUCGGAUCAGGUAGGAAUACCCGCUGAACUUAAGCAUAUCAAUAAGCGGAGGA
rnacentral:misc_RNA from 1 species